rnacentral:rRNA from 1 species
GGUAUCAGAAGUGCGAAUGCUGACAUGAGUAACGACAAAGGGAGUGAAAAACUCCCUCGCCGGAAGACCAAGGGUUCCUGUCCAACGUUAAUCGGGGCAGGGUGAGUCGACCCCUAAGGCGAGGCCGAAAGGCGUAGUCGAUGGGAAACGGGUUAAUAUUCCCGUACUUCUUACUAUUGCGAUGGGGGGACGGAGAAGGCUAGGUGAGCCUGGCGACGGUUGUCCAGGUCCAAGUACGUAGGUGGAUGAAUUAGGCAAAUCCGGUUCAUCAUUAACACUGAGAUACGAUGUCGAGCUACUACGGUAGCGAAGUCAUUGAUGCCAUGCUUCCGGGAAAAGCCUCUAAGCUUCAGAUAGUAAGAAAUCGUACCCCAAACCGACACAGGUGGUCGGGUAGAGAAUACCAAGGCGCUUGAGAGAACUCGGGUGAAGGAACUAGGCAAAAUGGUACCGUAACUUCGGGAGAAGGUACGCUCUUAAUGGUGAAGUCCCUCGCGGAUGGAGCUGUCGAGAGUCGCAGAUACCAGGUGGCUGCAACUGUUUAUUAAAAACACAGCACUGUGCAAAAUCGAAAGAUGACGUAUACGGUGUGACGCCUGCCCGGUGCCGGAAGGUUAAUUGAUGGGGUUAGACGUAAGUCGAAGCUCUUGAUCGAAGCCCCGGUAAACGGCGGCCGUAACUAUAACGGUCCUAAGGUAGCGAAAUUCCUUGUCGGGUAAGUUCCGACCUGCACGAAUGGCGUAAUGAUGGCCACGCUGUCUCCACCCGAGACUCAGUGAAAUUGAAAUCGCUGUGAAGAUGCAGCGUACCCGCGGCUAGACGGAAAGACCCCGUGAACCUUUACUACAGCUUGGCACUGAACAUUGACCCUACAUGUGUAGGAUAGGUGGGAGACUUUGAAACGCAGACGCCAGUUUGCGUGGAGUCGUCCUUGAAAUACCACCCUUGUAGUGUUGAUGUUCUAACUUGGCCCCAUCAUCUGGGGUGAGGACAGUGCCUGGUGGGUAGUUUGACUGGGGCGGUCUCCUCCCAAAGAGUAACGGAGGAGCACGAAGGUGGGC